CUCAAGGCAGCCACACACUCGCCCAAUGAAAGCAGGGAAAACUAUGAGCCAGAAGAUCCUUUUGCCAUGAAGCACUCUUGAAAUGAGAAGCUCCUUCAGAGGCAGAAGCCCUCCAAGUUCCCUGGGCGUCGCUCGCCAUUGGCCCCGCUCUGGGAAUGCUCACUUCUGAAGCAAUACUGUGGUUAAGAUGGUGUCUAAAAAGGGCUUCAAAAUGUGGCUUCAUCUACCUUCUGAGACACAGCAGAAAACACAGACUGUUGCCUUUUUGAGAAUAAUGGCUAGAAAGAACAAGAAUCCUGGCUGUCCGGAGAGGCACUGGGAACUUCCAUCCAGUGAUUGCCACGGAAAAAGAUACUGGGAGCCUUGGCUACAGUGGAUAAUCCGUGUUUGUAUUCUCUGCUCACUUUUUGAAAUUUAAACCCAAGUACAGGAACUGUGACCUCAUGCAUGUGUCUUUAAUAUGUAACCACAUUUUCUCUUCCCCCAAAUUUCUUCCCAAACUUAAGAUUAAUACUAAGUCCUCGCAGGGCAGCUUAGUAAUAACUGUCAAAUACCGUAACUACAAAUAGCAAAUUAAAUAUAUUUAUUGAAA